CAAAAGCCGUAAUGGCAUCUCCACUUUACCAUCCCAUUUUUCGCUCCCUUUUAAACCUUUCUCUCUCACUUUUGCUUGGUGGGUAGGUGCUGCUACUCUUUGUUUUCUCUUUCUGUCGUUGCUUUGUUUUGAUAAUACUACCUUGCUCUCCUGUAAGAACUAGCUUAAUUAGCUUCCAUGAAGGGUUCAACUUCAACAGGCACAUCUCAUUGCCCUUAUCUGAAGUCGUUAUCAAACAAAGUAGGAAGCAUGCUUUGUUGUCGUGGUUCAACCAACAAGUAUAGCAGGUUGGAUGCAAAGCUUGAAAAGAAAAUGGUUGAAGUUAAAAGAGGUUCCUUGGGCCAUAGCAAUUUCAAGUCAAUUGACAGCAUAAUCAUGAGGUUCCCUCAGUUCAGGGAGGAACUCAAGAAAAUAAGAGAUGUCUUUGAACAGUAUGAUGAGGACUCAAAUGGAACUAUUGACCUUGAGGAACUGAAGAAAUGCUUACAGAAACUGCAACUCCAUCUGACAGCGGAGGAGAUUGAGGAUCUUUUUCAUUCAUGUGACAUGGAUGGGAGUGAAGGGAUACAAUUCAAUGAAUUCAUUGUUCUUCUAUGCCUCAUCUAUCUAUUAAAGGAACCUUCAUCCUCUCAUAAUACAUCCAAGAUAGAUUCGCCACAGCUUGAAGCAACUUUUGACACCGUAAUUGAAGUAUUCUCAUUUCUGGAUAAAAAUGGUGAUGGGAAACUGAACAAGACAGACAUGGUGAAGGCAUUGAAUGAGGCUUAUCCUUUGGAGAAAUCUCCUGCACAUGUCACCAGGACUCGAUUCAAAGAAAUGGAUUGGAGCAAACGUGGGAAGGUCAGUUUCAGGGAGUUCCUCUUUGCUUUCAUCGAUUGGGUUGGAAUUGACACAGAUGAAGAAAUGUCUCCAGUACGAAGUUCAAGCAAGUAAUGUACAGUUUAGAAAUGGGUGCAGUAGCAGUUGUUCAAAUGAGGUCAGAUUGAUACAUUUAUAUAUGUAUAUAUUUCUAAAGCAUUUUAAGUUUGUAUAAAACAGUUUAGCUGUUCUAUCAUGUUUAGGUAAUGUAUUAUUUUCUUUACUAGUUUGAACCAUCUUGUGAAUCACUAUGAGAACUAAAUGAUGGACAGUAUUUUCACUUUUUCCUGUA